GACGGGGACCCGCACAAGCAGCGGAGCGUGUGGUUUAAUUCGUUGCUACACGAAGAACCUUACCUGGGUUUGACAUAUAGGUUGUAGGGAACUGAAAGGGACCGACCCUUCGGGGAGCCUAUACAGGUGUUGCAUGGCUGUCGUCAGCUCGUGUCGUGAGAUGUUCGGUUAAGUCCGCUAACGAGCGCAACCCUCGUCGUAUGUUAUAUGUGUCAUACGAGACUGCCGGUAAAAGCCGGAGGAAGGUGAGGAUGAUGUCAAGUCAGCAUGACCUUUAUAUCCAGGGCUACACACACGCUACAAUGGUCUGUACAAUGGGUAGCCAAGCCGCGAGGCGGAGCCAAUCCUGAAAGCAGGCCUCAGUUCAGAUUGCAGUCUGCAACUCGACUGCAUGAAGCCGGAGUUGCUAGUAACCGCAGGUCAGCAAUACUGCGGUGAAUACGUUCCCGGGUCUU
rnacentral:rRNA from 1 species